rnacentral:rRNA from 1 species
UGGGUCAGCGACUUAUAUUCUGUAGCAAGGUUAACCGUAUAGGGGAGCCGCAGGGAAACCGAGUCUUAACUGGGCGUUAAGUUGCAGGGUAUAGACCCGAAACCCGGUGAUCUAGCCAUGGGCAGGUUGAAGGUUGGGUAACACUAACUGGAGGACCGAACCGACUAAUGUUGAAAAAUUAGCGGAUGACUUGUGGCUGGGGGUGAAAGGCCAAUCAAACCGGGAGAUAGCUGGUUCUCCCCGAAAGCUAUUUAGGUAGCGCCUCGUGAACUCAUCUUCGGGGGUAGAGCACUGUUUCGGCUAGGGGGUCAUCCCGACUUACCAACCCGAUGCAAACUACGAAUACCGAAGAAUGUUAUCACGGGAGACACACGGCGGGUGCUAACGUCCGUCGUGAAGAGGGAAACAACCCAGACCGCCAGCUAAGGUCCCAAAGUCACAGUUAAGUGGGAAACGAUGUGGGAAGGCACAGACAGCCAGGAUGUUGGCUUAGAAGCAGCCAUCAUUUAAAGAAAGCGUAAUAGCUCACUGGUCGAGUCGGCCUGCGCGGAAGAUGUAACGGGGCUAAACUGUGCACCGAAGCUGCGGCAGCGACACUAUGUGUUGUUGGGUAGGGGAGCGUUCUGUAAGCCUGCGAAGGUGGCCUGUGAGGGUUGCUGGAGGUAUCAGAAGUGCGAAUGCUGACAUAAGUAACGAUAAUGCGGGUGAAAAGCCCGCACGCCGGAAGACCAAGGGUUCCUGUCCAACGUUAAUCGGGGCAGGGUGAGUCGACCCCUAAGGCGAGGCCGAAAGGCGUAGUCGAUGGGAAACAGGUUAAUAUUCCUGUACUUGGUGUUACUGCGAAGGGGGGACGGAGAAGGCUAUGUCGGCCGGGCGACGGUUGUCCCGGUUUAAGCAUGUAGGCGGAGGUUCCAGGUAAAUCCGGUACCUUUUAACGCUGAGGUGUGAUGACGAGGCACUACGGUGCUGAAGUAACAAAUGCCCUGCUUCCAGGAAAAGCCUCUAAGCAUCAGGUAACAUUGAAUCGUACCCCAAACCGACACAGGUGGUCAGGUAGAGAAUACCAAGGCGCUUGAGAGAACUCGGGUGAAGGAACUAGGCAAAAUGGUGCCGUAACUUCGGGAGAAGGCACGCUGAUAUGUAGGUGAAGUGAUUUACUCAUGGAGCUGAAAUCAGUCGAAGAUACCAGCUGGCUGCAACUGUUUAUUAAAAACACAGCACUGUGCAAACACGAAAGUGGACGUAUACGGUGUGACGCCUGCCCGGUGCCGGAAGGUUAAUUGAUGGGGUUAUCCCUCGGGAGAAGCUCUUGAUCGAAGCCCCGGUAAACGGCGGCCGUAACUAUAACGGUCCUAAGGUAGCGAAAUUCCUUGUCGGGUAAGUUCCGACCUGCACGAAUGGCGUAAUGAUGGCCAGGCUGUCUCCACCCGAGACUCAGUGAAAUUGAACUCGCUGUGAAGAUGCAGUGUACCCGCGGCAAGACGGAAAGACCCCGUGAACCUUUACUAUAGCUUGACACUGAACACUGGUCCUUGAUGUGUAGGAUAGGUGGGAGGCUUUGAAGUGUGGACGCCAGUCUGCAUGGAGCCGCCCUUGAAAUACCACCCUUUAAUGGCUGGUGUUCUAACGUGGGCCCGUGAUCCGGGUUGCGGACAGUGUCUGGUGGGUAGUUUGACUGGGGCGGUCUCCUCCUAAAGAGUAACGGAGGAGCACGAAGGUCAGCUAAUCCUGGUCGGACAUCAGGAGGUUAGUGCAAUGGCAUAAGCUGGCUUGACUGCGAGCGUGACGGCGCGAGCAGGUGCGAAAGCAGGUCAUAGUGAUCCGGUGGUUCUGAAUGGAAGGGCCAUCGCUCAACGGAUAAAAGGUACUCCGGGGAUAACAGGCUGAUACCGCCCAAGAGUUCAUAUCGACGGCGGUGUUUGGCACCUCGAUGUCGGCUCAUCACAUCCUGGGGCUGAAGUAGGUCCCAAGGGUAUGGCUGUUCGCCAUUUAAAGUGGUACGCGAGCUGGGUUUAGAACGUCGUGAGACAGUUCGGUCCCUAUCUGCCGUGGGCGCUGGAGAA